CGGCAAUGAGGAGGAUAACAUGUGAACGACUUCAGCAUGAGUUAUAAUAUACGCUAUUCUGAGCCCUUU